rnacentral:rRNA from 1 species
AGAGCGAACGCUGGCGGCAGGCUUAACACAUGCAAGUCGAGCGGGCGGUAGCAAUACGUCAGCGGCAGACGGGUGAGUAACGCGUGGGAACGUACCUUUUGGUUCGGAACAACCCAGGGAAACUUGGGCUAAUACCGGAUAAGCCCUUACGGGGAAAGAUUUAUCGCCGAAAGAUCGGCCCGCGUCUGAUUAGCUAGUUGGUGAGGUAAUGGCUCACCAAGGCGACGAUCAGUAGCUGGUCUGAGAGGAUGAUCAGCCACAUUGGGACUGAGACACGGCCCAAACUCCUACGGGAGGCAGCAGUGGGGAAUAUUGGACAAUGGGCGCAAGCCUGAUCCAGCCAUGCCGCGUGAGUGAUGAAGGCCCUAGGGUUGUAAAGCUCUUUUGUGCGGAAGAUAAUGACGGUACCGCAAGAAUAAGCCCGGCUAACUUCGUGCCAGCAGCCGC